UAUCAAGCAAAAAAAAAAAUUUUUUUUUUUUCAAACUUUGCUUUUCAAGAGGUGGAAAGUUUGAGCUUCGAGUUGCUCGACAACUGAGUGAAUGGCUGCAAGAAAUCAGAGAGCCAGAGCCUACAUUGAGUCCUGGGACAAACCCUGCCCCACCCUGCAGCAGGCAGAGGAGUUUUGAAGAUCUCCAGCAAAAAGGAAUGAGGACAGUGUACAACAAGAGAGAAGAAACAGGGCUAGCAAUGGCUGUGCUUGAGCCCAGAGUCCUGAUUUCUGCUCUGCCUGAACGCUAGAAUUUUCAAUCACAGGAACAACCAGCAUCCAGUCUGCAUAAGUUUAUAUGAGCUCAGUUUCAAAAUGUGCUGCUCAGAGUCCUGAACAAUAAAGGC
rnacentral:lncRNA from 1 species